AGUGAACGCUGGCGGUAGGCCUAACACAUGCAAGUCGAACGGCAGCACAGUAAGAGCUUGCUCUUACGGGUGGCGAGUGGCGGACGGGUGAGGAAUACAUCGGAAUCUACUUUUUCGUGGGGGAUAACGUAGGGAAACUUACGCUAAUACCGCAUACGACCUACGGGUUAAAGCAGGGGAUCUUCGGACCUUUCGCGAUUGAAUGAGCCGAUGUCGGAUUAGCUAGUUGGCGGGGUAAAGGCCCACCAAGGCGACGAUCCGUAGCUGGUCUGAGAGGAUGAUCAGCCACACUGGAACUGAGACACGGUCCAGACUCCUACGGGAGGCAGCAGUGGGGAAUAUUGGACAAUGGGCGCAAGCCUGAUCCAGCCAUACCGCGUGGGUGAAGAAGGCCUUCGGGUUGUAAAGCCCUUUUGUUGGGAAAGAAAAGCGGCAGGUUAAUACCCCGCUGUUCUGACGGUACCCAAAGAAUAAGCACCGGCUAACUUCGUG
rnacentral:rRNA from 1 species